AAUCCGUCGACUUUAANAAUCGUGAGGGUUCAAGUCCCUCUAUCCCCAAAAAG
rnacentral:tRNA from 1 species